rnacentral:rRNA from 1 species
AGGACGAACGCUGGCGGCGUGCUUAAUACAUGCAAGUUGAGCGGAGCUAAUAGUGAGUUACUUAUUAUUAGUCGAGCAGCGACGGGUGAGUAACGCGUGGGCAAUCUGCCCUCUAGUUAGGGAUAACAGUUCGAAAGGACUGCUAACACCGAAUAAUCUUAAAUUUGGGCAUCUAAAUUUAAGGAAAGUUAACGCUAGAGGAUGAGCCCGCGUCCCAUUAGCUAGUUGGUGAGGUAACGGCCCACCAAGGCAACGAUGGGUAGCCGACCUGAGAGGGUGACCGGCCACACUGGGACUGAGACACGGCCCAGACUCCUACGGGAGGCAGCAGUAGGGAAUUUUCCGCAAUGGACGAAAAAGUCUGACGGAGCAACGCCGCGUGAGGGAUGAAGGUUUUCGGAUCGUAAACCUCUGUCCUUGGGGAAGAUAAUGACGGUACCCAAGGAGGAAGCCACGGCUAACUACGUGCCAGCAGCUGC